rnacentral:rRNA from 1 species
UAGGGAAUUUUCGGCAAUGGGCGAAAGCCUGACCGAGCAACGCCGCGUGAAGGAAGAAGGAAUUCGUUUUGUAAACUUCUGUCAUAGAGGAAGAACGGUAUGAUCAGGGAAUGGGUCAUAAGUGACGGUACUCUAUAAGAAAGCCACGGCUAACUACGUGCCAGCAGCCGCGGUAAUACGUAGGUGGCGAGCGUUAUCCGGAAUUAUUGGGCGUAAAGAGGGAGCAGGCGGCACUAAAGGUCUGUGGUGAAAGCCCGAAGCUUAAUUUCGGUAAGCCAUGGAAACCGUAGAGCUAGAGUGUGUGAGAGGAUCGUGGAAUUCCAUGUGUAGCGGUGAAAUGCGUAGAUAUAUGGAGGAACACCAGUGGCGAAGGCGACGAUCUGGCGCACAACUGACGCUCAGUCCCGAAAAGCGUGGGGAGCAAAUAGGAUUAGAUACC